rnacentral:rRNA from 1 species
AGAUUCGCCCGCCGCGCGCGGCGGGCGGGGCGGGGGCACGGGGGGACUCCUACGGGAGGCAGCAGUGGGGAAUAUUGCACAAUGGAGGAAACUCUGAUGCAGCAACGCCGCGUGAGUGAUGAAGGUCUUCGGAUUGUAAAGCUCUGUCUUCUGGGACGAUAAUGACGGUACCAGAGGAGGAAGCCACGGCUAACUACGUGCCAGCAGCCGCGGUAAU